AUGCCCUAUUCCUANCAGUUGUCCUGCAAAACUUUUCAAGAGUGUCUACUAACCUUUCAUGUGCUUGGACUGUCCACUAUCUUUCCUUGCAGUGUGGCUCAAGCAAAGAAGGAAGUCAGGGAGAGGCAUAAAAAAGAGUCGGCAAGGAUCAGCUGCAUUUAUCCAAGGAGCUCUAGGAAAAGAUGUGGUUCUUCCUCGCCCAGUGGAGAAUCAGGAUGUUUUCUAUUACAGCCCUCCAGACCUAGAACUGGCUUCAGAGACAUGUGAGAUCCUGACGUUCAAAAGAAGUCUCAAAACUUGACUCUUGUCAGCUUUGCAAAAUUCGGCCUGAUUCAAGCUUCUUUCACACUGUAGAGCCAUCGUUAAGGAACAGCCCAGAUGCCAAAGUACAACCAUUCGCAACAGCACAGCUUCUGAAUUCUACAACUCUUGUAAUUGCCUUGAUGUGCUCCUGACAACCAGGAAAGGACCAACGACUCGGCGUCACCACAAAGGACCAGCAACUAACAGCAAAAUAACCCAAUUUCACACAACCAACCCAACCAUUUUUCGUCGGCACCUAUAAGAAGGGUGAGAAGGUUCACGAAACCACCAGUUGCAUUUGACCCUUCUAGCAGUCAUAUCCUACAAAGAUGGACAUUGUUGCCCUAUCCAAAGGCUUCAGUUCAAAGCAGAGCCAUGGAAAGCUGCAACGAGUGAAUUUAAUUGCCUCUGUUUAUUUUGAGGAAGUUUUAGAUGUGGCUGCUGUUUUCUUGUUAAAAGAAAUAUUUUGUAUCCUGUAUUUUUAAUAAUCACCACGCAUCGCUCUGAGAUUGUAGAAGAAGCUAAGAAAUGAAAUCAAAGAACAU
rnacentral:lncRNA from 1 species